ACAGGCCACCUCCCCGGGGCCUGAGCCCAAGGGGAACUCCGAGGUGGAGCACCAAGGCUUCCUGCCAGGCUGGGGCCCAGGUCCUGUCUUCCAAGGUCUGUGUGUUUUGGGGAUCAUGAAAUAGUCCCUGCCUGCUUCUAUCCCCAGCACCUGUGGCUCCGCUCGGCCACCCCUGCUGCUUCCGGGCACUGCAGGCUCCGAGCUGCUCCCUCUCUGCCCUCCUCUCCCCGGCACUCCUGCUCUGGGCCACCACAGGAAAACAAGAUCGGCCACUGCCAGGCCCAGGGGUGAAGCGAGGAGUGCUGAGCCUCUCACCUGAACACCUGGACAUCAGCCAAGGCUCCAUGAAUGACAGCCAGCGCUGUCAUCAUCACCUGAUUCCCUGUCCCCACCUCUGGGAAACGUCCCCGGCUCCCGCAACAGAAACAAGGGUGCUCUUCUCCACCCCCUGGCUCCCCGGGGACUCUGUCCAACCCAGAGCCAGCAGCUGCACCCUCUCUGCAUUUCAUUUCCUGCUCCCGUGGAAUCAGGAUAAGCACGCUAAUGGCCUCACCCUGGGCUGUCAGAGGAUUAAGUGAGAUAAUGCUCGCCAUGGGCUUGACCAACGGCACCGCCCCAGCCAUGCCUCUGUGAGGCACAUCCCCUGUUACUGAUGUUCAAACCGUCUGGACUGUACCCUGCUAGACCAAGGAUGCCCUGGAAGAGGACGCGGCUUGCUGAUGUUAAGACAUGUCUGCCGACAGAAUGUGGAGCUGGACAGGGGCUACUGCAGCAGAAUACCAAGGAACCACCAAAGGAAGACAGCAAAGAGCCUCUGCUCGUCACACGCACUGGGGCUCGGGCUGGAAUAGCAGCUGCCAUCUUGACCCUUGGCAUUGCCCACAUCAGAGGGAAGCAGAACCCUGGGGUGGCCUUGUGCCUGCAAUUCGAUGCUCAGCCUGAAGGAAGUGAUUUCUGUUAGUUGUGUUCAACCCAUUGCCCAGAACUAGUCAAUGGCUUCACCAGCUAUGAAGACACUAGGCAGUGUGGGUCUACCAUGUGCACAGGAGGUGGGAACCCACAAAGGUUUGGUGAGCAGCUCUGCUGGGUACCACAGUGCACUUUGUGCCUAGCAGAGCAUAGCAGGGAAUAGGGGAUGAGAACAUUUUUGUUGAAGGUGGUUUCCUGCCCUACCAGUCUAACCAAGCAGCCCUUAACAAGGUUCCAAUGGCCUCUGUCUUGCUCUGUCUCCUGGGCGCUCCUAGCCCUCAUCUGCCUCAACCUUGCUGGUUAUUCCAUACCCUUUGUAAGAUCCUCUUGGCUUGAGGACACGAUGCUUCCCUGAUUCCCUUCCUCCCCCUGCGUCACUGCUUCCUUGGAUCCUAUGCAACUUUUUCUCCCCUUGCUGGACCUCAUUUUGGGUUUCUCAGACCCUGGGCCUAUAUCUUCAGCAGAACUCAUCCACCCCUUCCCUUGAACUUUCCCUUCAAUGGAGGUGACUUCCUUGUUUUUUUUUUUUUUUUUUUGAGCUUUGAGUUCAUGAGUUUCACAGACUACUUGGUAGCUUCUCAAUAAUAUCUCAACAUCACCUCAAAUAUAUUACACUGAAAACCAAAGCUGUGACCUUUCUCCUUCCACUCCGGUCUCUAAAGCCCUAUUUCUGGGCUCCUGUCUCUCACUGAAUGACAUUGCCCACCUACUCACACAGUCCAGAGACCCAAGAGUCCCUUUCCACGUUGUGUUCUCCCAUGGGCUUCCAUGUUUAAAUGCCAAGUCCCCGCGACUUAGCGUCCGUACCUCUCAAGUCCACACAGCCCACCAUCUCCAGCUCGGACACUGUCUCCAUUCCUCUCCCAUCUCCAUCACUGGUCCAUGCGGACACCUUGUCCCCCUUGAAUGCUGUAAGCUCCCUCGGGCCUCCUUGUCCAUUCCAGCUGCAGCCGCCGGCUCUCUAGGCGACAGCCGGGGGGAUCUAUUCCCAGUGCGAAUCUGACUCAUGCUCCUCCAUCACAAAACACUUCAGUGGCCUGGCAGAAUCUUCAGUCUCCAGUGCUGUGCUGGCUCCCUGCCGUGGUCACUGCUCAGGACCUGCGCGUGGCGUCCACAGAGCAGCUCUUCGGAGUAUUUUUAGGCUUCCCAGGGACUGACCACAGCAGAUGUGGGGAGAAGGGCCGCUCGCCAGAGCAGAUAGACAGACCCCUUUCAAGCCACCUUCCUGUCAUCCAGCGAGCUCCCUGAGCGAGGCAGGGGAGGUCCCCAUGGGGUUGGUUCUAUUUCUGGGGGUGAGGGUGAAUCAGUUGUGUCUGAGGACACCAUCAGGAACCACGACAGUCAUUUCUUUCUUUGUGGCUUUGAGGUCUGGGUGGGGAGGGGCUGGGAUCCUGAGACCCCUGGGGCCCACAGUGGAAAGACGAACUGAUUGCAAGUGAGUAUGGGGGAGACUCUGGGGGCCCCAAGGGUGGCUGGUGUUCUCUGGCUUUGUACCCCCCGCAGCCUCACCCACGCACACCUCCUAACUCAUGAGGAAGCUGCUCUCCUUGUCUCUGUGUCACAGAUGAGGAAGCCAAAGCUCAGAGAGUUUAAGGGUUGGACCCAGGUUCUCACAACUGUCCAGUGACGUAGCUACGACUCAUGGCUACACCCCCCAAUUCCCAAAGCCAGCAUCUCCACCCGCUUCCAUGUUUACCCUCUCCCUCGUCUCCGAGGAACCAUGAGGCCAGGGAGGACAGCAAGUGGGAGGUCCUGGCCAGGAAGCAUAGGGCAGUGCUGGGGCCCAGAGACCAGCAAAGGUGGAAGCUGCCCCCCACCCUGUCCUGAAGGGGCAGGGAGAGAGCAUUACUGGGGACCACAGUGACAGAAGAGCUCGGGUACAAGCAGGAAGCUCAUGGAAGAUGCAGACCUAGUCAGAUGCAUGGGCUCCUCUCCUGCUGGAUCCAGAGGAGACCAACAGACCAAGGAGCCUGGUGACUCGAUCUGGAGAGCCCAGACCUCCUGCCAAGAUGGAGAACGGGUGGGCGUAGAUAGAGACCCAGCAGCAGGGCCUCUUUCUCUCUUCCUCCUGCCCUGUUCAGCGCGGUCACCAGCUGGGGGCCCCUGCUAGUCUCCGUCAGCACCUCUCUGUGUGGCCGGGCCUGGGGGUUCUGAGGGGCUGACUGAAUGAGCAGCCCAGGAGCCAUGUUGAGUUCAAGAUCUCCUCAGCAGGGACACCACCCUGCGCACACUCUUGGCCAGCCUCCAGUCAGACAAAAUAAAACCUGCCAGGGUCUCCAGGAAGCUGAGACAGUGCCUGGCUGAGGAGGGCCUGG